rnacentral:tRNA from 1 species
AGCCCGGUGGUGUAGUGGCCAAGCAUAAAGGGCUUUGGACCCUUAGACCCCUUUAAAAGGCUAAAAAGGAGUUCGAAUCUCCUCCGGGCUACCA